rnacentral:lncRNA from 1 species
CGCCAGAGCCCGCGCCUCGGGGAGCGGCCGGGUAGGAACCGCGCCGAGAAGCAGCGGCAGAGGGAACGCCCCGGGGCACCCGACCGAAGUUUGACAACAGGAGGCAUUCAAUAAAUGCACAUCAACGAGGGAAAGCAUGUAACAAUAGAAAACACACAAGCAUUAGCAGCACGCGGCUAAAGAGCGAGGAGGAAGGGAGGAAUGUACAGGUGCUGCUGUGUCCCGAAUUAAGCAGGGCGGUUUGGAGAAGACUUCACAAAUGGAGCCAGUUAAUGAAGCAAGCGGAAGGAAUAUCGUUUGGCGAGGAUAAGAUGAAUGGAGACCCUCUCGGGGAAGGAGGAGUCUCCCCCAAACAUCCUUGAGCUCAGUCUGUCUUGAAAAACCAGUUGAUAUCCUGAACAGAAUGGGUCUGGAGAAUGAGGCCCCCACUUCCGGGGCCAGUUCGAGGACUAUCUAGCUGUGUGAUCUUGGGGAAGUCUCUUGGUCUCAGAUGGUGGUUGAACUAAUGACCUUUUAUGACACCCCCAGUUCUAUAAAUCAUUGAGUCUUCCUACUCCUAA